rnacentral:lncRNA from 1 species
AUUUUUCCUAGAGUGGUUUCUGAAACUAUGAAUAGGUGGUUGCUUCAUGCUCCGUUAGAGGAAGAGGUAAGGGCUACAUUGUUCUCCUUUAAUUCGGGGAAAUCCCCUGGGCCAGAUGGUUUCACAUCGGAAUUUUUCAAAAAAAUUUGGGGAGAUCUUAAAGGCCUAGUAAUAAUACAUGCAUGUACACUUUAUAAUAAUACAUGCAUGUACACUUUAUUUAGUCCCACAUUCAUAAAAAGUAUAAAGAAUAUUUUAUAAUAUUUUUAACUACACUUUUUUAGUCCCACAUCGAUAGAAUUCAAAAAACACAAAGAAGGUUGGUCUAUAAAUAAAGAUUCAUUUUGUCUAAAACAAAUAUGAAGUUUUAAGAGUGAGAGGAGCUUUUAUUAAAAAUAAUAUAUCUCUUUUCAUGGACCAAUGUAUAAAUUUUUGGCAUAAAAAUAUAUUUUUAGCCUUAGUGAAUUUAUGAAGAAGAAAAAAUUACGAAAAUACCCCCACCAGUUAACC